rnacentral:lncRNA from 1 species
AGAACUUGUCGCGGACUUUAAAUCGAUACGAAUCAGGUUAAAAUCGCGACAGAAAAAUCAGUAGCCGGCUAGUCACCGCAUAAAUCUUAAAACCGAAAGUAAACCUAGGUCUUGCCCUAAACCCAGCGCUCUGGUCUCUAACAUCUCAAGGCAUGAUAUCAAAAGAUACGAGAUCCCUAAACCAUGCCACUAUGUUUAUAUUCAACGUCUUCAGCACCCCCGCGAAGCCUACAUCUCGCGGAAGAACUCUCAAAACAGAUCUCGAAUGAAACAUUUCACAAUCGAAGAAGGAUAUGAGACGACAACUCAUCACCUUCCUUCCCCACUAUACACUAACUCAUAACAAAGAACCAUUUUAUUAUCUCAUCAUAAAAAAGCCGCAAAAGCGGCAGGGAUUCAAAGACACACGCGACCAGUCCCAAAACACGAAAUAAGGCCAUCUAACGCCGAAACAUAAAAAAAAAACAUAAAAACAAAUCUCUCGCAAGAGAUCUAACCCAAGUCAUCUUCAGAACUCACGCACCCUCUUCACCUGUCGCCUCGUCCGAACCUGAAACCGCGUCACCUCCGUUUUCUCCAACCGUCGGGUCUUUCCCCACUGGGUCUUCUGAACACGUCGGAAGGAAGCAUGCGGAUUUCAGAUCAGCUAGGAUGAGAUCGAAAUCUCCAUCCACGGCCGCCAUAUCUCCCUUACAGCCGGACAGUCGGGCCUCUUCAGCCUCCAAGGUUGGGGGAGCCUCACUUUGGAACAACCAAACCACGGCCAUCCCGCCCUCAAUCAUCGCCAAAGCUAAAUCCCUGCUCCGGAUACACUCGAGGUAACCCAGGGAAGCAGAAAUCUUCGCCAAGCGAGCCUGAAACUCUGCGUGAAGAGCAUCCGUAGCCUCCUGGAUCC